UCUGUCUCUGUGCUUGCAUGUAGAUAUUAUUUUGCAGGUGUGUGCUAAUCUAUUUCUAUGUUUAAGAUGAUCAAGAAAUCCACUAAGUAUCACAUCAGUUAGACAGGAGGAGGAGAAGAAAAGUGAAAGCUUAUUCUCUUCAUCCUUUUUCUUGAUAGAUCUUGUUAGAGACUCCUUUUCGGUUCAUUCUAUUGACCUGCCUCUUUCCUUGAACUCGUGACUCAAUUUUGGGCCUUGCACUCUGCUCAUUGUUUUCUCUAGUGAGGGCUGCAACGCUAGAAAAGUGAAAGCUUAUUCUCUUCAUCCUUUUUCUUGAUAGAUCUUGUUAGAGACUCCUUUUCGGUUCAUUCUAUUGACCUGCCUCUUUCCUUGAACUCGUGACUCAAUUUUGGGCCUUGCACUCUGCUCAUUGUUUUCUCUAGUGAGGGCUGCAACGCUUGCCAAUCCCCGAGGGGCUGCAGUUGUCAUGGUCCAUGAUCAUGUUGGAUGUUUGUUUGAUAGCACAUUGUGUGGUCAUUUAUCUUUUUAGCAUUCUUCGGAGGCCUGGAAAAAAUGCCUUAAAAUACUCAUUGGCAUGGAGUUGGUUCAUUUUUUUUGUUUUAUUAACAAAUUUCUGAUGGAAUCAUGAAGACAUACAGGCAGAGAUAUUAAGGUGAUGUGAAAUAGGAUUGACUGGUUACAUUGUAAAAGUUAAUGGAGGCAUUAGGAGAAUCUGGGGGUAGCAAACCACGAAAUGAGAAGCCAAGAAGGUUAUUCAAAAGUUUUAUGUAGAAGAACAUGAGAAGUUAUAUAGUUAUCUUGGAAACGAGGAUGGGGAGAAAGUUGUUCACAAGAUACUCUCGGCAACUGGUAAAGGAAAAUUGAGAUUUGAAUCAAGUCUAACUUAUUAAAGAUGAGAACCAAAGAGCUUUGUUUUGUAAUGAUGAGAUUACAGAAAGAUCAGAGAAUUAUUUUAACAUCAAUUAAUGAGAGGCAUGGUGUGGACAUCUCGAACUCAGCUGUGGAUAGGAAUAUUAGUUAUGUAUCAUGGCCACAAUAUGUGCUGAACUUAACUCUUUUUACUAUGUUCCGAGAGGAGAAAAUUAACUUUGUUCUUUUCAUUUGUGUAGGAUGUCAUGAGCGA
rnacentral:lncRNA from 1 species